UCGUGCGAGAAGGAGACUUCGGUCUCUGAGUAGAGCGGCGCACGGGUGAGUAACGCGUGGAUGAUCUACCCUUGAGUUCGGGAUAACGGUGCGAAAGCGCCGCUAAUACUGUAUAACAAUCCAUUUCAUCGUGGGUUCAAAGCAGGCCUCUUCAUGAAAGCUUGCGCUUGGGGAUGAGUCCGCGUCCCAUUAGCUUGUUGGCGGGGUAACGGCCCACCAAGGCUACGAUGGGUAGCUGGUCUGAGAGGAUGAUCAGCCACACUGGAACUGAAACACGGUCCAGACUCCUACGGGAGGCAGCAGUGGGGAAUAUUGCGCAAUGGGGGAAACCCUGACGCAGCGACGUCGUGUGAGGGAAGAAGGCCUUCGGGUCGUAAACCUCUGUCAGAAGGGAAGAACAUCCGGGAGUCGAACAGCCUCCCGGCCUGACGGUACCUUCAGAGGAAGCGCCGGCUAACUCCGUGCCAGCAGCCGCGGUAAUACGGAGGGCGCAAGCGUUAAUCGGAAUCACUGGGCGUAAAGCGUGCGUAGGCUGCUUGAUAAGUCAGACGUGAAAUCCCCUCGGCUCAACCGGGGAACUGCGUUUGAU
rnacentral:rRNA from 1 species